rnacentral:rRNA from 1 species
ACGGGGUGCAGCAGGCGCGAAAACUUCACAAUGUGGGAAACCGCGAUGAGGGGAUUCCAAGUGCUAACACAAUGUGUUAGCUGUUCACCUGCCUAAAAAGCUGGUGAAGUAAGGGCCGGGUAAGACGGGUGCCAGCCGCCGCGGUAAUACCCGCGGCCCGAGUGGUGGUCGUUAUUAUUGAGCCUAAAGCGUCCGUAGCCGGUUUGGUAAAUUUCUGGGUAAAUCGGGCGGCUUAACUGUCCGAAUUCCGGAAAGACUGCCAAACUUGGGACCGGGGGAGGUUGGAGGUACUCCUGGGGUAGGGGUGAAAUCCUGUAAUCCUGGGGGGACCACCAGUGGCGAAGGCGUCCAACCAAAACGGAUCCGACGGUAAGGGACGAAGCCCUGGGGCGCAAACGGGAUUAGAUACCCCGGUAGUCCAGGGUGUAAACGCUGCAGGCUUGGUGUUGGGGGUCCUACGAGGGCGCCCAGUGCCGGAGAGAAGUUGUUAAGCCUGCCGCUUGGGAGUACGUCCGCAAGG